rnacentral:misc_RNA from 1 species
GAGUUCCAAUCGCUGAUACCAAUAGGACUGAAUGCUUCUGCUAGGCUUGUAUAAUUAAAUAAAUAUACAAAUAUAAUUAUAUCUUUUUUUAAAAAAUUAAAAGAUGAUUAUUAAAUAUGGAGUUCACAUAUACAUAUAUAUUUAUUUAUUAGACCCACACAUGCUUUAAUGUUCACCCAUUAUUAAAAUUAUGUAAGAUAUCCUACGUAAAACUGUUUUACUAUAUAAUUUUUGUUUUACUAUAUAAUUUUUGGUCAUAUAUGUGGGGGUGUUUGACAAUAUUACCCAUGCCUUCUUGACCCUCUUGCCCAUAUUCCCUAUCCAAAGGGAAGUCAUUCGAUAGCUUUUUUUUCUCUGAAGCUUUGCUUCUGCUCCAAACCUGUUUUGGUGCAUUUCUUCAUAAUGACAGUGUUACUCUUUUUAUAUCCUAAUUUUUGUGUUAUCUGUGGAAUAUAUAAAUAGAUAGGGUGAGAUUUGGAUCUGCUGCUGGAUCCACAAGAUCUCCAUUUCGUUAUCAUGAGAGACAGAGAACGAGACAUAUAUGAGAGGGUGAAAAAGAGAGAAACAGAUUCUAUCUAACCAUCCUUAGAGCAUCAAAUCACAAUUCCACCACCAUCGCUCCCUUCAUCAACAUCCAGAGAACCCAGUAAUAACAAUCCGGCCACCAACCACAGCCGAAGAUACGUUUGGGUCGGGCAGGUCGCCAACUAUAACAUUUGAUCACAAAAAGCAACAAAAGCAAUCUGGAAUGUGAAGAAAGUAAAAGGGAAAUUGAAGUCCUUGAGGUUGGGACAAAAGUGCAUUUGGGUAGAAGAAGUUGGGCCUAAAAUGCCAUAUUAGCUGCGGAGAUAAAAACUCCACACCAGGUGCAUCAAGGGCAUCACUCCUUUUAAAUGUGACUUAAAU